GACGAACGCUGGCGGCGUGCUUAACACAUGCAAGUCGAACGGAAAGGCCCUUCGGGGUACUCGAGUGGCGAACGGGUGAGUAACACGUGGGUGAUCUGCCCUGCACUUUGGGAUAAGCCUGGGAAACUGGGUCUAAUACCGAAUAGGACCACGCGCUUCAUGGUGUGUGGUGGAAAGCUUUUGCGGUGUGGGAUGGGCCCGCGGCCUAUCAGCUUGUUGGUGGGGUAAUGGCCUACCAAGGCGACGACGGGUAGCCGGCCUGAGAGGGUGACCGGCCACACUGGGACUGAGAUACGGCCCAGACUCCUACGGGAGGCAGCAGUGGGGAAUAUUGCACAAUGGGCGCAAGCCUGAUGCAGCGACGCCGCGUGAGGGAUGACGGCCUUCGGGUUGUAAACCUCUUUCAAUAGGGACGAAGCGCAAGUGACGGUACCUAUAGAAGAAGCACCGACCAACUACGUG
rnacentral:rRNA from 1 species